rnacentral:rRNA from 1 species
AGAGUUUGAUCCUGGCUCAGGAUGAACGCUAGCGACAGGCUUAACACAUGCAAGUCGAGGGGCAGCACAGGUAGCAAUACCGGGUGGCGACCGGCGCACGGGUGAGUAACGCGUAUGCAACUUACCUAUCAGAGGGGGAUAACCCGGCGAAAGUCGGACUAAUACCGCAUGAAGCAGGGGCCCCGCAUGGGGAUAUUUGCUAAAGAUUCAUCGCUGAUAGAUAGGCAUGCGUUCCAUUAGGCAGUUGGCGGGGUAACGGCCCACCAAACCGACGAUGGAUAGGGGUUCUGAGAGGAAGGUCCCCCACAUUGGUACUGAGACACGGACCAAACUCCUACGGGAGGCAGCAGUGAGGAAUAUUGGUCAAUGGCCGAGAGGCUGAACCAGCCAAGUCGCGUGAAGGAAGAAGGAUCUAUGGUUUGUAAACUUCUUUUAUAGGGGAAUAAAGUGAAGGACGUGUCCUUUUUUGUAUGUACCCUAUGAAUAAGCAUCGGCUAACUCCGUGCCAGCAGCCGCGGUAAUACGGAGGAUGCGAGCGUUAUCCGGAUUUAUUGGGUUUAAAGGGUGCGUAGGUGGUGAUUUAAGUCAGCGGUGAAAGUUUGUGGCUCAACCAUAAAAUUGCCGUUGAAACUGGGUUACUUGAGUGUGUUUGAGGUAGGCGGAAUGCGUGGUGUAGCGGUGAAAUGCAUAGAUAUCACGCAGAACUCCGAUUGCGAAGGCAGCUUACUAAACCAUAACUGACACUGAAGCACGAAAGCGUGGGGAUCAAACAGGAUUAGAUACCCUGGUAGUCCACGCAGUAAACGAUGAUCACUAGCUGUUUGCGAUACACUGUAAGCGGCACAGCGAAAGCGUUAAGUGAUCCACCUGGGGAGUACGCCGGCAACGGUGAAACUCAAAGGAAUUGACGGGGGCCCGCACAAGCGGAGGAACAUGUGGUUUAA